GGCACGAUGGCGGAGUGGUCUAACGCGUGAGACUUGAACCGUGUUCACGAUAUCUCAUAUCUUCGGAUGCGCAGGUUCGAAUCCUGCUCGUGUCG